UUAAAAGAAAAAAAAACAACAAACAAAUUUUAAAAAAAGUUGGAUCAGUGUUCUGUGUUCUGCUCUCCGUGGAUGAUCUUGGGAACUACGAAUUUGUAUGCGAAUUGGAGUAAAAACUGACAGGAUUUGUAAUUAUCCACUUUCUUCUUUUUUUGACCGCCAUUUAGAAUAUUCAGAAAACUAGCAUCGAAUUCAUAAUUAUGCAGCAUCCUCGGAAACUCCCAAGUAUUUAUUGUUAUGAGCGUAUUAAAUCCAUUUUUGAAGUUACGAAUUUUUUAAAUUUGACAUCGAGUUCAGAAAUCGACGAAAAUUGCGUUACUAUAAAAAAAGUCGGGACUGAAAGGAUUAAAAACUUGAUUACGAAUCCGGCAUUAGAUUUUUAAAAUUCAAAAUGACGGUAUCAAUAUGGUGGCAGUCAAAUUCUGAAAUCUCCUCAAUAUUUUUAAAACUCUGAACCUAGGGGUUUGCGGUGUAACUAAUUACAAAAAAAAUGUAUGGCAAAUCUAUUGAAGAGUUCAUAAUAUAAUUUUUGACCGUGUAUAUUAA